GGGUGCGAUCAUACCAGCACUAAUGCACCGAGAGUAGUACUUGGAUGGGUGACCUCCUGGGAAGUCCUCGUGUUGCACCCCUC
rnacentral:rRNA from 1 species